rnacentral:rRNA from 1 species
AAAUUGAAGAGUUUGAUCAUGGCUCAGAUUGAACGCUGGCGGCAGGCCUAACACAUGCAAGUCGAACGGUAACAGGAAGCAGCGCUUGCUGCUUUGCUGACGAGUGGCGGACGUAAGUGAGUAAUGUCUGGGAAACUGCCUGAUGGAGGGGGAUAACUACUGGUGGUGGUUAAUACCGCAUAACGUCGCAAGACCAAAGAGGGGACCGGCCUCUUUGCCAUCAGAUGUGCCCAGAUGGGGAUUAGCUAGUUGGUGAGGUAACGGCUCACCGUUGCGACGAUCCCCAGCUGGUCUGGAGAGGAUGACCAGCCACUGAACUGGAGACACGGUCCAGACUCUACGGAGUGCGCGGCAGUGGGGAAUAUAACAAUGGGCGCAAGCCUGAUGCAGCCAUGCCGCGUGUAUGAAGAAGGCCUUCGGGCUGUAAAGUACUUUCAGCGGGGAGGAAGGUGUUGUGGUUAAUAACCACAGCAAUUGACGUUACCCGCAGAAGAAGCACCACACCUGCGCCAGCAGCCGCGGUAAUACGGAGGGUGCAAGCGUUAAUCGGAAAUUACUGGGCGUAAAGCGCACGCAGGCGGUCUGUCAAGUCGGAUGUGAAACCUCUGGGCUCAACCUCGGGAACUGCAUUCGAAAACUGGCAGGCUUGAGUCUUGUGUAGAGGGGGUAGGAAUUCCGUGUGGCGGUGAAAUGCGUAGAGAGUCUGGAGGAAUACCGGUGGCGAAGGCGGCCCCCGACAAAGACUGUGACGCUCAGGUGCGAAAGCGUAAGAGCAACAGGAUUAGAUACCCUGGUAGUCCACGCCGUAAACGAUGUCUACUUGAGGUUGUGCCCUGAGGCGUGGUUUCCGGAGCUAACGCGUUAAGUAGACCGCUCCGGGAGUACGUACGCAAGGUUAAAACUCAAAUGAAUUGACGGGGCCCGCACAAGCGGUGAGCAUGUGGUUUAAUUCCGAUGCAACGCGAAGAACCUUAAUUCGCUCCUGACAUCCACAGAACUUUCCAGAGAUGGACUGGUGCCUCGGGAAUCAGGACAGGUGCUGCAUGGCUGUCGUCACUGUGGUGUUGUGAAUGUUGGGUUAAGUCCCGCAACGAGCGCAACCCUAUCCUUUGUUGCCAGCGGUCCGGCCGGGAACUCAAAGGAGACUGCCAGUGAUAAACUGAGGAAGGUGGGGAUGACGUCAGUCAUGGCCCUACGACCGUAUUACACACGUGCUACAAUGGCGCAUACAAAGAGAAAGGCGAGAGCAAGCGGACCUCAUAAAGUGCGUCGUAGUCCGAUUGAGUUCGCAACUCGACCCAUGAAGUCGGAAUCGCUAGUAAUCGUGGAUCAGAAUGCCACGGUGAAUACGUUCCCGGGCCUUACAGGCCACACCGCCCGUCACACCAUGGAGUGGGUUGCAAAGAAGUAGGUAGCUUAACCUUCGGGAGGGCGCUACUUUGUGAUUCAUGACUGGGGUGAAGUCGUAACAAGGUAACCGUAGGGGAACCUGCGGCUGAUCACCUACCUG